UACGUAGGUGGCAAGCGUUGUCCGGAUUUACUGGGCGUAAAGGGCGUGCAGGCGGUUUGUUAAGUGCAGAGUGAAAGCUCCCGGCUCAACUGGGAGAGGUCUUUGCAUACUGGCAAACUCGAGGGAGGCAGAGGAAAGUGGAAUUCCCGGUGUAGUGGUGAUAUGCGUAGAUAUCGGGAGGAACACCUGUGGCGAAGGCGGCUUUCUGGGCCUUACCUGACGCUGAGACGCGAAAGCGUGGGGAGCGAACAGG
rnacentral:rRNA from 1 species